GGGAAAAGGAAGGCCACGAGGAUCUCGAAUCUGAGUGGACAUUCGACAUCUACAGAGAAGAAUGUCAGGAUGUGAAAAUUUGAAAUGAACGAACGAGAAAUAAUUAUUGUACAAGUACAAACGAAAAACGAGGCACGGAGAUUCGAACCCACGACUCUCGGAUUCACAGUGUAGCGCUUUACCUACAGAACCAGUCCCGUACCCUGCGUAUAGUGUUCUCAUUUGACUCAUUAUCGGAUAUGGGAGGCCCGGACGCUACAAGAGUAUAUUCUAAAUAAAAACGAAUUAUAUAACAAUUAAGCGACGAGAGUUUAGACGAAUCGAGCGUCAGAAAAUAAUUGGACCGGUGCGUAAAAUUCCUCUGGUUCGUUUCUGGUGGUCAUGCUUGUGAAGAAACGACAAAUUAGUGCAGCUAAAAGGCAGUCGCCGCGGGGAAACACGAUACCUCGUGCCCUUUAAAAAUUACGACUGACCGAGCUGGCGCGAGAAACGGAGAGAACGAAGAAGGGGAGUCUUUGUUUUGAUUAGGGAAUGUCAAAGCAAACUGUGGUGCCCUUUCUCGACGUCGUGAACCACGACUCUCCCUCGGAGUUUUACUACCUUUUUAUUAUGGUUCAUUUGUGGUGGUCAGCAGAAUCAGGACCCCAACUAGCACGCGAUCACGUUCCUCAACGAGGAAUUACUGAGCUAUUGUGUCAAAGAAGGAUAGGAGAAAGGAUAUAUUGAUAAUACACCAUGUUUCUUCAUUGAUUAGCUCCGCAGUAACACUGAUACCUUUCUGGAAUCCGUGUUUUACAAAAUAUACUUAAAUCUAUGUAACAUUCUAUAACAUUCAUUCUAGUUCAUUUUUUCUUUAGAUAAAAAUAUUCUUCUAUCCUAUUUAUUGAGAAUAAGAAUGGUACGUUCAGAUGAGGUAUAUAGCCAUACAGUUACAGUACAAAUGCGAUAUUAUUGUGCAUAACUUAUCUACUACGCAAGUUUAUUUGAACGCGGAUAACACAAUUCUUGUUCUAAUUAUUUAGAGAUUAUUUAGAGAUUUAGAGAUAAUUAUUUAGGGUAAUGGAGAUGGUGGCGGGUAAUCAAAUUCUUUUCGUACCGACCGAUGUUAUCGAGGCCUAGAUCGGUAACUGCAGCGCAGGGCCGGCGUUAGGGGAGUGCGCGCCCGGUGUCCCUGGUAACCCAAUGGCACAGAGUACUCUUACAGCAGCAAAACACCGGAUGUGUUCUACGCAUCUUCAUUACCUCUGGAUGCAGGAAUUGCAAGAGAUUCCACAUAUGGCAUCAACGUGGAAUUAAAGAAAACGAAAGCUUAUCGAUUUUAUUCGAAACAGAAGAAUUAAUAAUAUUCUAAACCAUAACAGAAAAUAUUUAAUUAAUUAGUAGAAAGCAUGCUUGAACUCUACUUUGGGGCACCCAAAUUCUUGAUCCCUAGAAUUCAUAAAUCUAAACUGUAAUAUUAGCUCUGGGAUAGGUUUAACAUUUAUUUUUUACCAUUUAGAAUUCAUAAAUCUAAAUUUUAAUUUGGUCUGGGUUAUGUUUGAAUAAACGGUAUAAAAAAAAUCCAAUAAUUUUUGGUGCCCCAAAGUUCAAUCGAAAGUAUACCACAAUGCAACAAUUAUACAGAAUGUAGUACAACUUUUCAAAGCUCACGAUUUAUGACUGUCAAAUAUUUAUCUCCGUCAGGGACUUCCAUGCAAAAUUAAAAAUUGUUUCGUAUUGGAUAACAAAAUCUUACUGACAGAGGAACCUGAAGUACAACUCAGGGAAAUGUCAAAAUUAUAAACUACAAAAUCCUACUGACAGAGAAAUCUGAAGUACCCACUCUAGGAACUAAUUACAAAAUUCUAAUCCAGUUCAGGGCAUCCCUAUGCCCUC